AAACCAAAGUCUUGUUGUUGUUAUAGAGAAAAGGGAACGAUGUCUGAUUUUAACAUUCACACAUUCCAAGCCACAGUCUUCCAAGCCCUUCUCUUGCCGCCAAGCCUGCUGGUGGGAGCCAGGUCUACAGGAAAGUUUCCAGAAAGCAGAUUUUGGCAAAAGUUGCCUUUAAACCUGCAGAGAAUACAGUUCAGUUUUCUUUUUUUUUCUAAGAACAUUUUCAUUCCUUUUUGCCACAGAAUUUCAUGGACUAUGUUUAUUUUUCCUUCUCAGGUCAUAGUAUGUGGAUUUUUCAUAGAUGUGAGGAACAGACAUUUCUUUCCUUUUUUUUUCUUGUUUCCUUACAAAAUUCUUUCAGCUUGUAGGUGGAGUUGAAGUCUAAGAUUGUGUUUUAGAGAAUACUUUUUCUUCUGUUAUCAUUAAACUACUUCAGAGAAAAGAGGAAGUACCACAGUCUACUUUCUGACUGCUUUGAAAAGAGGCUAACGCGUUGAGGGAAAUGAAUGAUUGUUGAUUUUACUUACAGUCUUUGGACAAAUGGCCUAUGUGGCCCUGAGCCCUGGCACCCAGAGAGGGCAGUGGGCUGUGGGUCUGUUUCAGAUAGUUUUGUAUACCAAAAACACCCUGUGCAAGUGCACUGGUUUUAGAGGAAUGUCCAAGAAAAUUGCCCUCCUGCUCCUCACAACAUGUCAUUACGGAAAAAUAGAAGGCCGUACAUUCCAAUCUGAUUUUCAUUUAACUCUGCAAGCUAUGAAUUUUGCCAUGAGGUAAGAGGCUGAUUCAGAGCCCCAGAAUCCUUUUGGUGCCACAGACACUAUUUUAAAAUGGACAUUCCUUCAGGUUUCUCAGUAUGAUUCUGCCAGGGGCAUGGAAUAAGCAGGGCUCUGUCUGAUAAGAACUCCCAGUCCUGGUAAACAAGAACCGGGAUGCCUGGUGGCCAAAGUAACUGCCUUAUUUUUUAAAGGUUAGGAGUUCAAAUCUUGUGGGUUUGCACUUGAGUUAAAGUAUGCACGUAUCCUGCUUGGAGAAGCAAUAACAUUACACCAUGGAAUCUGGCCUACCCACAGCUAAGUUCUGGCUACAAUUAAUUAAACAAAUACUUCCUAUGGAAUUCUUUACCUUGUAGAUCCUGAACAAAGUGUCUACAUUCCAGAAGACGUAGGAAAGCUUUAUUUUCCAAGCUUCCUGCUCUCUACAGUGUAUAUGUACUUGAAUUCCACCACAUCGACUAGAGUUCAUACUUGACACAUUCUUUAAAUGUUGAUGUACCUGUAGCCUCAGGCCUCCUUUCCACUCUUCAAUUUCUUUUCUCCUGAUUUUCCGGGGAGGUAAUUUACAGAUUGAAAGGCAUGCUCUUUGUACUCAUGACCCAUUGGAAACAGACUCUGUUGGAAGAAAAUAUAACCUGUAACAGGGCCUAUGAUUUUAGUGAUUCAACCUUCAUAAUACGUAGUUUUUCUAUAGCAUUUUACUGUUUAUAAAGCACUUUACAUAUAUGAGCUCCUUUCAGCCUCAUAGCCAUGAGUUAAAGUUAAUAUUGUGCCCAUUUUGCGGACAAAAAAAAAACGAGACCCAGAGUUGUUAAGAGACUCAGCAAGUUGGUGUCAGAGCUGGUACUCCAGCUCAGACCUUUACAGCUCUAAAGGUUUUCAUCACUAUUGUGGAAUUGCCUCUAAUAGCAAAAAACUGCCAUAGAAUCACGUUCGUGUUCCAGAUUUUGUUGGUGGUCCCACUUUAUUGAGAUGUGCUUGGUGGCACUGCCAUCAUGGAAAGAGAAUAAAUACCGAGGCUCCCUGUAGAUGCUGAACACUUAAUAGUAUCAACAGUCGAAUUGACUUGAUUAAAUUAUCUGCUUCCCCAUUCCCUCCUGGACACCCACAAAUAAAGGGAAAUAACCAGCUCUGUGUGCCCUCUUGCUCCAAGAAAGACUGAAACUGGAAACAUCCCAGUAUUGUGACUUGAAGUUACCUCAACAGGAAGUUCUGUUUUUUAAAUUAAAACUCCAGUCAGUUUCUUUUUAGUUGUUCUUAUCGCCAGUGGGGGCUUGGGGCAAAUAGUUCCCAGGAAAGCUUUCGAUAUAUACGUGACAUGAAGACAAUAAUGAUACCUGCUCCCUACCUACUUGGCAAGCGUUGGGAAAAACAACCAGAUAAUGUCUAUCAUGUGCUUUGAAUGCCUAGAAAGAAAGAUAAGGUUUAUGUGCAAGGGUAUAAUUAUAUUGAGUCAGCAAUGACAUCAUUGUCUGUAUUUCACGUGUGUGGUUGUUGUCUAAGUCACUGCCGAAUAUAAUUUGGCUCUCAUGUUUGAUGUUUUAAAGACGUGAUGAUGCUACAAUAAAUUAGCAGAAGAGCAUAAGUUGGGAAGGCACUGUGGGAGGUACUGGAGACAGAGCUAGAACGCUAUUCCUCAGAGAAACAGUGUCCAGUGAGGAGAAGACAAGCCCAGAGCAAGACCAGCACCCAGCACAGUGUCUGCACGCAGGAGGACUCGAAACGCACGUGCUGAAUGAAUGAGCAAGAUGUGCUGCAGGGUGACGAGGACGCGACAAAGGAAAGCAGGAGCGCCACGGGAACACGUAACAGGCAGCUCGCCAAGAGUAACACGAGGAGGAAGGAGACUGCAGGAAAGACGACGCACAACGGCCGCACAGGAAGCUGUGGGGAAGCACGUGGCUGACGAUGACAAGAGCGUUAAGUGCCAGAAUUUUUAUUUUAUCCUAGUUCACUUUUUUUAAAAAACGCCGUUCACAGCCCACACUUUUUAAAGCGUUAAAAAAAUAACGCUGUUCUACCCACUGUGUGAAAAAUUCUACGUUACUAGAAAGGAUUUUCUCUUCUGCAUAUCUGUUGGCCUUGCGGUGGAGGACCAGACAACAGAAUGGAAAUGUCUGCUCGGGAGCGUGAACAUUUCUGCCAUUGAGCACAGUCCAUCCCCAGCCCGUCUCCAUGUUAUCUGUCUUUGCGGAGUCCUGCCAACCAUCUGUAUUAGUUUCCUAUUGCUGCUGGAACAAAUGACCACAAGCGGUGGCUCAAGAAAACAGAAAUCGAUUUUCUUACAGUUCUGGAGACUGGAAGUCUGUAUCAGUUUCACUAAGCUGAAAUCAGGGUGUUGGCAGAGCUCCUCCCUGAGGCCCUAGGGAGAAUCCAUUCUCUGCCUCUUCCUCCAGCUGCUGGGGGCUACUGGCAUUCAUUGGCUUGUGGCCACAUCGCUGGGAUCUCUGCUUCCCUGGGUGCAUUGCCUUCUCCUCUGCUGAUUGCUGGCAAGCCUUACUCUCCCUGCCUCUUAUGAGGACACUCAAGACUGCAUUGGGGGCCCAGCUGGAUACUCCAGGACAAUCUCCCAUCUCAAGAUCCUUACCUUAAUCGCAUCUGUAGAGUCCUGUUUUGCCACAUAGGUUCCAGGGAUUAAGACGUGACUAUCUUCUUUGGCAGGGAGUGAGGCGAAAUAUUCCACCUACCAUGCCAUCACCGUCUGAAUCACUGGGUCUCUAGUACAAACCUGCUAAAUAUCUCAGUUGCCUUUCUCCUUACUUUCCUUCAAGAAGGCAGAAUAACUACUCUCUUUUUUCUUUAGGGAAGAAGAAAAAUGGGCCAAAGGAAGGGAGAGAACUUUUACUGAGCUCCUACUGUGUGUUAAAUAAUUUACAUGCACUCUUCAUAACAAGAUUGCCACCAUUUUGCAGAUGAGAAAAGUGAGGCUGAGAGAGCCCAAGUAACUAGUCCAACAUCUCCCAGCGGGUAAACAGUAGAGACAGAAUUUGAACACAGAUCUGUCUGAUUUCAAAGGCCAUGUCCUUUCCACUACACCAACAUUCCUCAAAUUUCAUUAAUUCUCUGACACUUCACAAAGGAAAAAAAUUCUUACAGACCCCAGUUUGAGCAAUACUACAAGAAACCAUGGUAUCCUCCCUCUUGAGAACUCCAUUGUCAAGGAUCUUCACAGUACGACCCAGGACGGCUGCUGCUUAGGAAAGGUUUUAAUGGAACAAAGCAUUUACUACUAAUAGGACUUUAGCACUAGUGAUCUGUUAAUAUUAUAGAUGCAAGUUAAUUAUUUCCACCACAGAGAUGCCUCCGGAACUUCUGUCACGUUCAAGUAAAUGGCUGUGGCAUUUUCUGAGCUUAAUCUAAAUGAAAGUUUACCUGGAUGUCCCACACAAGCUUUGUAGAUUAAAAAUGUCACCCUCGGGGCCGGCCCCGUGGCCAAGUGGUUAAGUUCGCAUGCUCUGCUUCGGCCACCCAGGGUUUCACCAGUUCGGAUCCUGGGCACGGACAUGGCACUGCUCAUCUGAGUCAUGCAGAGGUGGCAUCCCACAUGCCACAACUAGAAGGACCCACAACUAGACAUAUACAACUAUGUACCGGGGGGGCUUGGGGAGAAAAAGGAAAAAUAAAAUCUUUAAAGAAAAAAGUCACCCUCGUUCUAGCAUAUGCUAACCAACUAUAAUGAUAUUGAAGCCUAAUGCUUAUCAUACAAUUAGUGGAUUACAAUUACUAUGGGCCAGGCACUGUUCUAAGCACUUUAUGUAAAUUGACAUAUUUGAUACUCAUGAGAAUCCCAUGAGGAAGGUCAUAUUCUUCUCUCCCUUUUACAAAUGAUAAAACUGAGGCACAGAAAGGUUAGGUAAUUUCUCCAAAGUCACACAGCUAGUAAAAGGUGCAGAACUAAGAUUAAACACAAGUUGUGUGGUUAUAGACACCAUCUUUUAACACAACUGAGAACAAGCAUGCUUCCUCUGUGUCUAAACUCAUUUCCUGGGCCCAGGCCUGAGAUCUGAGCCCUGUCCCUGCCUCUGUCCUCCCUGGUCUGGAGCG
ensembl:lncRNA